rnacentral:pre_miRNA from 1 species
UAACCUCUGCAGGCUGACUGGCCCCCAGGCUGAGUGAGUAUCUCUUCAAAAUGCUCAUCCUCAAGCAUGACUAGGAGU